AUGGGCGCAAGCCUGAUCCCAGCCAUACCGCGUGUGUGAAGAAGGCUUUCGGGUUGUAAAGCACUUUAAGUAAGGAGAAAAAGUUUGUAGUUAAUAGCUGCAAUCCUUGAUGUUACUUACAGAAUAAGGACCGGCUAAUUCCGUGCCAGCAGCCGCGGUAAUACGGAAGGUCCAAGCGUUAAUCGGAAUUACUGGGCGUAAAGCGCGCGUAGGUGGUUUUUUAAGUUGGAUGUGAAAGCCCUGGGCUCAACCUAGGAACUGCAUCCAAAACUAGAUGACUAGAGUACGAAAGAGGGAAGUAGAAUUCACAGUGUAGCGGUGGAAUGCGUAGAUAUUGUGAAGAAUACCAAUGGCGAAGGCAGCUUCCUGGUUCUGUACUGACACUAAGGUGCGAAAGCGUGGGUAGCGAACAGGAUUAGAUACCCUGGUAGUCCACGCCGUAAACGAUGACAACUAGCUGUUGGGAGACUAGAUCUCUCAGUGGCGCAGCUAACGCUUUAAGUUGUCCGCCUGGGGAGUACGGCCGCAAGGCUAAAACUCAAAUGAAUUGACGGGGACCCGCACAAGCGGUGGAGCAUGUGGUUUAAUUCGAUGCAACGCGAAAAACCUUACCUACUCUUGACAUACUUGGAAGCUCUUGUAAUGAGAGUGUGCUUUUAGAGCCAAGAUACAGGUGCUGCAUGGCUGUCGUCAGCUCGUGUCGUGAGAUGUUGGGUUAAGUCCCAUAACGAGCGCAACCCUUACCCUUAUUUGCCAGCGGUUCGGCCGGGAACUAUAAGGGGACUGCCGGUGACAAACCGGAGGAAGGUGAGGACGACGUCAAGUCAUCAUGGCCCUUACGAGUAGGGCUACACACGUGCUACAAUGGGG
rnacentral:rRNA from 1 species